AUGGACUGCAGCGAGUUCUGGACCCCUCCGACGACGCACCGGUCGGAGUCCGGGACGCUGUCCUGCAUCAGCUGCAUGACCGCCAGGUCGAACAUCCAGAGGCCAAGGCGCGACGCUGCGACGCCGGCCAUGAGCACCCACGCCGACGCCACGCCGUCGCUCACCCAGAUGGAGCCGACGCAAAGCAGCAGGCAGCACCACUGCAAGCCCAUGUCACCAGCCCCGUUCGAAGCGUGGACACCCACGAGUGCACCACCGGGUACAGCAAGGUCGCCCCGAUCCCGACGAUGGCGCUGA
rnacentral:rRNA from 1 species